CUCCAUAUGGUUGCAGCUGUCAAUCAACCCUGACUCCGCCCACCAGAUCCUGCAAGGAGAGAUAGUUGGGACGUUUCUGGUGUGUAAGUGUAGCGCCUCCCACAGGAAGGUUUUGUGUGUGCGACUGCAGGAGGGAGGAGUGUCACAGUAUCCCAUCCGUGAGGAAGACUCCACAUUUUCUCUUGAAAGUUCUGCCCUGAGCUUCCCUGAUCUCUGCAGACUAGUGGCAUUUUACACCAUCAGCAGAGAUGUAUUGCCUUUCCCACUUGAGCUCC